GUGCCAGCAGCCGCGGUAAUACGGAGGAUGCGAGCGUUAUCCGGAUUUAUUGGGUUUAAAGGGAGCGCAGACGGGCGAUUAAGUCAGUUGUGAAAUGCCGCGGCUCAACCGUGGACUUGCAGUUGAAACUGGUUGCCUUGAGUGCGGUUGAGGUAAGCGGAAUUCGUGGUGUAGCGGUGAAAUGCUUAGAUAUCACGAAGAACCCCGAUUGCGAAGGCAGCUUGCCAAACCGUAACUGACGUUCAUGCUCGAAGGUGCGGGUAUCAAACAGGAUUAGAUACCCUGGUAGUCCGCACGGUAAACGAUGGAUACUCGCUGUUGGCGAUAUAAUGUCAGCGGCUUAGCGAAAGCGUUAAGUAUCCCACCUGGGGAGUACGCCGGCAACGGUGAAACUCAAAGGAAUUGACGGGGGCCCGCACAAGCGGAGGAACAUGUGGUUUAAUUCGAUGAUACGCGAGGAACCUUACCCGGGCUUAAAUUGCUAAUGAAUUAUUUGGAAACAGAUAAGCCGCAAGGCAUUAGUGAAGGUGCUGCAUGGUUGUCGUCAGCUCGUGCCGUGAGGUGUCGGCUUAAGUGCCAUAACGAGCGCAACCCUUGCCGUUAGUUGCCAUCAGGUAAUGCUGGGGACUCUAUCGGGACUGCCAUCGUAAGAUGUGAGGAAGGUGGGGAUGACGUCAAAUCAGCACGGCCCUUACGUCCGGGGCUACACACGUGUUACAAUGGGGGGUACAGAAUGCUGCUUACGUGCAAACGUUGGCUAAUCACGAAAGCCCCUCUCAGUUCGGACUGGAGUCUGCAACCCGACUCCACGAAUCUGGAUUCGCUAGUAAUCGCGCAUCAGCCACGGCGCGGUGAAUACGUUCCCGGGCCUUGUACACACCGCCCGU
rnacentral:rRNA from 1 species